UUUUUUUUUCUUUUUUUUUUUCACGGUAGCUGAUUAAAAUGGAUACUCGGGGUUUCUUGUCCAUAUACAUUAUUGAAAAGCAAUUAGCAUAGUGGAUUUAUUUUGGGUUGUAACUUAAAUGUUAUAAUGCUUUAAAUAGGUCUUUUGUUUUGCAGUUGUUCAUUUUCAAUAAUGAUUUACUAAUAAUAGCUGGAUACUGGAGUAGAUUAUUGUACAGAAUGGUCAUAACAUGUUUUGAGUUUUAAUUUUGAAAUAGCUUCUAUUUUUUCAUGGUGAGUAUUAG
rnacentral:misc_RNA from 1 species